UACGGAGGGUGCAAGCGUUAAUCGGAAUUACUGGGCGUAAAGCGUGCGCAGGCGGUUCGUUGUGUCGGCGGUGAAAGCCCCGGGCUUAACCUGGGAAUGGCCGUUGAAACUGGCGAACUGGAGUGUGGCAGAGGGGGGUGGAAUUCCGCGUGUAGCAGUGAAAUGCGUAGAGAUGCGGAGGAACACCGAUGGCGAAGGCAGCCCCCUGGGCUGACACUGACGCUCAGGCACGAAAGCGUGGGGAGCAAACAGG
rnacentral:rRNA from 1 species